rnacentral:rRNA from 1 species
AUUGAACGCUGGCGGCAUGCCUUACACAUGCAAGUCGAACGGCAGCACGGGAGCAAUCCUGGUGGCGAGUGGCGAACGGGUGAGUAAUAUAUCGGAACGUGCCCAGUCGUGGGGGAUAACGCAGCGAAAGCUGUGCUAAUACCGCAUACGAUCUACGGAUGAAAGCGGGGGAUCGCAAGACCUCGCGCGAUUGGAGCGGCCGAUAUCAGAUUAGCUAGUUGGUGGGGUAAAGGCCUACCAAGGAGACGAUCUGUAGCUGGUCUGAGAGGACGACCAGCCACACUGGAACUGAGACACGGUCCAGACUCCUACGGGAGGCAGCAGUGGGGAAUUUUGGACAAUGGGCGCAAGCCUGAUCCAGCAAUGCCGCGUGCAGGAUGAAGGCCUUCGGGUUGUAAACUGCUUUUGUACGGAACGAAACGGCGAGCUCUAAUACAGUUUGCUAAUGACGGUACCGUAAGAAUAAGCACCGGCUAACUACGUGCCAGCAGCCGCCGUAA